GGCAGGCUUAACACAUCGCAAGUCGAGGGGUAUGGUUUUCGGACCAAGAGACCGGCGCACGGGUGCGUAACGCGUAUGCAAUCUACUUUUGCAGAGGGAUAGCCCAGAGAAAUUUGGAUUAAUACCUCAUAGUAUAGUACUUUGGCAUCAAGGAACUAUUAAAAGUCACAACGGCAAAAGAUGAGCAUGCGUCCCAUUAGCUAGUUGGUAAGGUAACGGCUUACCAAGGCUACGAUGGGUAGGGGGUUCUGAGAGGGAGAUCCCCCACACUGGUACUGAGACACGGACCAGACUCCUACGGGAGGCAGCAGUGAGGAAUAUUGGACAAUGGGCGCAAGCCUGAUCCAGCCAUGCCGCGUGCAGGAUGACGGUCCUAUGGAUUGUAAACUGCUUUUAUACAGGAAGAAACACUCCGACGUGUCGGAGCUUGACGGUACUGUAAGAAUAAGGAUCGGCUAACUCCGUG
rnacentral:rRNA from 1 species